rnacentral:tRNA from 1 species
GGGGAUGUAGCUCAGAGGUAGAGCACUUGACUAGCAAAAUCAAGGCCUAGGUUUGAUUCUUAGCACCA